rnacentral:rRNA from 1 species
AUACGUAGGGGGCGAGCGUUGUCCGGAAUGAUUGGGCGUAAAGGGCGCGUAGGCGGCCCGGUAAGUCUGGAGUGAAAGUCCUGUUUUUAAGAUGGGAAUUGCUUUGGAUACUGUCGGGCUUGAGUGCAGGAGAGGUAAGUGGAAUUCCCAGUGUAGCGGUGAAAUGCGUAGAGAUUGGGAGGAACACCAGUGGCGAAGGCGACUUACUGGACGGUAACUGACGCUGAGGCGCGAAAGUGUGGGGAGCAAACAGGAUUAGAUACCCUGGUAGUCCACACUGUAAACGAUGAAUGCUAGGUGUAGGGGGUAUCGACCCCUUCUGUGCCGCAGUCAACACAAUAAGCAUUCCGCCUGGGGAGUACGGCCGCAAGGUUGAAACUCAAAUGAAUUGACGGGG